GACAGAAAACUUUCUGCAAUUGAGGUACAACUAGUUUCAAAGACAAAAAGCCAGGGAAAAAAUUAAGCAAAUUUAUAGUAAUAUGGCAGGUAAAUUCUUACUGCUGGACCUCGUGACUGAAAAGGCAGAUAGACAAUGUGCAAGCUCCGACAACAAGGAUAUCAAGUGUUGGCUAUAUAAGGCACCAAUACGAAAGAAAAAUUGCCAUCAUAAAUAUUUUUGUCCAAGCUACUGGCCUUGUAAUUCAAUGAGUAAUUAAUGGCCAAUGGAGAUUUCCACUUAAACCUUGAGCCUAAGAUCACUGCAAAAUAGAAAAUUCAAGCUCAGACAUUAUGUAGUAAACAAGAGAUCUAACAAAACAAUUUAGAUAAUUUCGUGAAGCUAUUGUUCUGUCAAUCCUACAAAAACAAAGUGUGGAACAGAAUAUUAACAGAGUUAUAGUAAUACAUCAAAGCACAGAACAGGAUAGGUGCUUGGUUUCAUGUUAAUCGACGGUUACAAGAGUAUUAUGUUGUUAGGAGCAAAUGAGAAGCACGGUAUUUUGCACUUGACAAGAAAUGCCAAUGCCGCAGCUUUGAAAGAUAAUAAAUAGGACGAGAAAAAGGAAGAAGAGAAAAUUGUGAAGAAUAACCACGGGAACUUUUUAGUUUUUUUCAUAUAAUUCCCCCACACUUAAAUCAUUGCUUGUCCUCGAGCAAUAAAAAAUACAAACCAGCAAUAAUUUAAGAAGUGAAAUGAAUCAAGUGAACUUGAAACUCAAUCUCUCUUAACUUUGGCAAGCUUUGAUUAUGCAAUUUUUUCCUAUUAACCGUAAUACUCAUCAUAUCAUGUAAAAGAGAGAUAAUUACACUCAAAAUUCAACCAAACAAAUUUAAUCUCUCUAUCUUACCUAAUUUCACAAAUAACUAACAUAUAUAGUUACCUUGGAGAUUUUCUUCCUUCUAAAUGAGAUGUUUAGCUUCACAAACCUUAAGAGGGAACUAUUCACUUUCUUUUUUCUUUUAUUUACUCUUAAAAUUGUGAAAAUGCCUUUUGACGAAGAUUGAUAUUUUUAGAUGAAGAUUUCCGGUUACUCAAAACUUCACUUAUUACUCCCAAUUCCAAUACCUUUUGACGCGAAAGUCGAUAUUUGUAGAUAAAACUCUCGGUUACUCAGUAUAAGAAUUUAUUGAAUUUUUUUACCAUAAAAUCCCUCAAUAAGGUCACAUUUGGAAGAAAAAUAUUCUAGCAACUAUAUAAAUCAAUUACUUGUAAAAAUAAGUAAGAUGAGAGAUUUCAUUUACUAUGCAAAAUGUAGGCAUAAUUUUCUUUAUUUUACAAUAUAUAC
rnacentral:lncRNA from 1 species